GGAAAGCUCAAAAAGGGCAAUAUCUGCUAGCGGUGGAUCUAGGUCGUUACACAUGGUAUCAGAGCUAGACAUCGAACGAUGUGCCAACCUUCUCGUUGUUCUCCAAAGGAGGGUGGAUUGUGAUGUCCCAUAUUAGUUGGGGAGGAGAACAAAACACCCUUUUUAAAGACGGUGGAAACUUUCCCCUAGCCGACGCGUUUUAAAGCCUUGAGGGGAAGCCCGAAAGG